rnacentral:misc_RNA from 1 species
CAUAUGUUAAAUUUUGUGCAUCAUCCAUAGCCAAGACUCUUUUUCUGUCAUAUGAAGCAUGUGUAGAAACUAUGGAAAACGUUGACAAUAUUUAAUCCGCCAAUAUUUCAAAUUUGGAUUUGGUAUGAAACAAGGUUUAGAUUUUCACGGUUCACACAAUGGAAGCAUGACAGUGGGUUUCUAACCCUCCACUGCAUAUGUCUGAACCUCAGCCAAGUUAUCUUCUGGAGAAUA